rnacentral:rRNA from 1 species
UACGUAGGGGGCAAGCGUUAUCCGGAUUUACUGGGUGUAAAGGGAGCGUAGACGGCACUGCAAGUCUGGAGUGAAAGCCCGGGGCCCAACCCCGGGACUGCUCUGGAAACUGUUAAGCUGGAGUGCGGGAGGGGCAGGCGGAAUUCCUGGUGUAGCGGUGAAAUGCGUAGAUAUUAGGAGGAACACCAGUGGCGAAGGCGGCUUACUGGACUGUAACUGACGUUGAGGCUCGAAAGCGUGGGGAGCAAACAGG